rnacentral:rRNA from 1 species
GCGGAGGAAAAGAAACUAACAAGGAUUCCCCUAGUAACGGCGAGUGAAGCGGGAACAGCUCAAAUUUUAANUCUGGCUGCCUUCGCAGUCCGAGUUGUAAUUUGAAGGCGUCUGUCGCUUGUGAGACGAUGGCACAAGUCCUCUGGAACGUGGCAUCGUAGAGGGUGAGAAUCCCGUCUCUGGUCGUUGUCUUGCAGGCACACGGCAGGCGAUCCGAAGAGUCGAGUUGUUUGGGAUUGCAGCUCCAAAUGGGUGGUAAACUCCAUCUAAGGCUAAAUAUUGGCGAGAGACCGAUAGCGAACAAGUACCGUGAGGGAAAGAUGAAAAGAACUUUGAAAAGAGAGUAAAACAGUACGUGAAAUUGUUGAAAGGGAAACGCUUGAAGUCAGUCGUGCCGGCGGGGAUUCAGCGAACUUCGCGGAGUGAGCGUAUUUCCUCGCAUGGCAGGUCAGCGUCAGUUUUGCGCGUCGUGAAAGGGCUCGGGUAAGGUGACUCUCUUCGGGGAGUGUUAUAGGCCUGAGCAGAUGCGAUGCGCGGGACUGAGGAUUGCAGCGGACACCCUUCGGGGCGCGGCGACCGAUCCCUGCUCUGUCACCUUCGUCCGAUAGCGUGCUAACGGUCGGGGGAGCGGCGGUUGCACCGGGUUGGCAAGCCGGCGGCUUCGCUAAGGAUGCUGGCGUAAUGGCUUUAAACGACCCGUCUUG